rnacentral:lncRNA from 1 species
CAAAAAAAAAAUGUGGGACCCACAUGUCAUCCUCCCUCUCCUUCCCUACUUCCUCCCCCUCUCUCCCUUCUCUCUCUCCCCCCGUCCUUUCUCUUGGCCGGAGCGGCUGCGGGGAUGGCAGUGGCGAGCGGCGGCGGCGGUCGGGACGAUGGCGGUGGGAGCGGCGGCGGCGGUGAUGGGAAUGAGGAUGGCGGCAACCAAGGAGUGCGACGUAGUGGCAGCGUCACUGGCCGAGUUCCACGCGUUGCCCGCCGGUGUCCGCGGCCUCGUCGAGUCUGGCGCCACCGCCGUGCCACCGUCGUGCCACCGCUCUUCCUCUCGCCAGGCUACGGCCGUGCGCGCUCGCCGCCACCUCCACUGCUGCGACCGACGGCCUUCGACAGCAGCAGCAGCGGCUGUUGGAUGGGGAUGGUGGACAGUGCCUCAAAUAUUUUAUGGACGUAUUCAGCUUGGUGGGCAACCACAUCAGUAUGAAGAACUACAUCAAUAUUGGCCAGAAGAACCUCAUCAGUAUACGCAUGGUGAA